GCAAGUCGAACGGUAACAGGAAGCAGCUUGCUGCUUUGCUGACGAGUGGCGGACGGGUGAGUAAUGUCUGGGAAACUGCCUGAUGGAGGGGGAUAACUACUGGAAACGGUGGCUAAUACCGCAUAACGUCGCAAGACCAAAGAGGGGGACCUUCGGGCCUCUUGCCAUCAGAUGUGCCCAGAUGGGAUUAGCUUGUUGGUGAGGUAACGGCUCACCAAGGCGACGAUCCCUAGCUGGUCUGAGAGGAUGACCAGCCACACUGGAACUGAGACACGGUCCAGACUCCUACGGGAGGCAGCAGUGGGGAAUAUUGCACAAUGGGCGCAAGCCUGAUGCAGCCAUGCCGCGUGUAUGAAGAAGGCCUUCGGGUUGUAAAGUACUUUCAGCGGGGAGGAAGGUGUUGUGGUUAAUAACCGCAGCAAUUGACGUUACCCGCAGAAGAAGCACCGGCUAACUCCGUGCCAGCAGCCGCGGUAAUACGGAGGGUGCAAGCGUUAAUCGGAAUUACUGGGCGUAAAGCGCACGCAGGCGGUCUGUCAAGUCGGAUGUGAAAUCCCCGGGCUCAACCUGGGAACUGCAUUCGAAACUGGCAGGCUUGAGUCUUGUAGAGGGGGGUAGAAUUCCAGGUGUAGCGGUGAAAUGCGUAGAGAUCUGGAGGAAUACCGGUGGCGAAGGCGGCCCCCUGGACAAAGACUGACGCUCAGGUGCGAAAGCGUGGGGAGCAAACAGGAUUAGAUACCCUGGUAGUCCACGCCGUAAACGAUGUCUACUUGGAGGUUGUGCCCUUGAGGCGUGGCUUCCGGAGCUAACGCGUUAAGUAGACCGCCUGGGGAGUACGGCCGCAAGGUUAAAACUCAAAUGAAUUGACGGGGGCCCGCACAAGCGGUGGAGCAUGUGGUUUAAUUCGAUGCAACGCGAAGAACCUUACCUGGUCUUGACAUCCACAGAAGAAUCCAGAGAUGGAUUUGUGCCUUCGGGAACUGUGAGACAGGUGCUGCAUGGCUGUCGUCAGCUCGUGUUGUGAAAUGUUGGGUUAAGUCCCGCAACGAGCGCAACCCUUAUCCUUUGUUGCCAGCGGUUAGGCCGGGAACUCAAAGGAGACUGCCAGUGAUAAACUGGAGGAAGGUGGGGAUGACGUCAAGUCAUCAUGGCCCUUACGACCAGGGCUACACACGUGCUACAAUGGCGCAUACAAAGAGAAGCGACCUCGCGAGAGCAAGCGGACCUCAUAAAGUGCGUCGUAGUCCGGAUUGGAGUCUGCAACUCGACUCCAUGAAGUCGGAAUCGCUAGUAAUCGUGGAUCAGAAUGCCACGGUGAAUACGUUCCCGGGCCUUGUACACACCGCCCGUCACACCAUGGGAGUGGGUUGCAAAAGAAGUAGGUAGCUUAACCUUCGGGAGGGCGCUUACCACUUUGUGAUUCAUGACUGGGGUGAAGUCGUAACAAGGUAACCGUAGGGGAACCUGCGGUUGGA
rnacentral:rRNA from 3 species